rnacentral:tRNA from 1 species
GUGGAUGUAGCUCAACGGUAGAGCACUUGCCUGGCAUGUGUGAGGCACUGAGUUCAAUCCUCAGCAGCAUA